GAAACAAUGAUGUAAACUGACUUUUAAUCAGUGGGUCGCAGGUUCGAUCCCUGCACGGCUCACCA
rnacentral:tRNA from 2 species